rnacentral:rRNA from 1 species
UACGUAGGGUCCGAGCGUUGUCCGGAAUUAUUGGGCGUAAAGGGCUCGUAGGCGGUUCGUCACGUCGGGAGUGAAAACUCGGGGCUUAACCCCGAGCCUGCUUCCGAUACGGGCAGACUAGAGGUAGGCAGGGGAGAGCGGAACCCCUGGUGUAGCGGUGGAAUGCGCAGAUAUCAGGAAGAACACCAAUGGCGAAGGCAGCUCUCUGGGACGGUACUGACGCUGAGACGCGAAAGCGUGGGGAGCGAACAGG